rnacentral:rRNA from 1 species
GAUGAACGCUAGCGACAGGCUUAACACAUGCAAGUCGAGGGGCAGCGGGGUUGAAGCUUGCUUCAACUGCCGGCGACCGGCGCACGGGUGAGUAACACGUAUGCAACCUGCCCGUCACAGGGGAAUAACCGGAAGAAAUUCCGACUAAUUCCGCGUAACACUGUUAUCAGGCAUCUGGUGACAGUCAAAGGAGAGAUCCGGUGACGGAUGGGCAUGCGGCGCAUUAGCUAGUCGGCGGGGUAACGGCCCACCGAGGCGACGAUGCGUAGGGGUUCUGAGAGGAAGGUCCCCCACACUGGUACUGAGACACGGACCAGACUCCUACGGGAGGCAGCAGUGGGGAAUAUUGGGCAAUGGGCGCAAGCCUGACCCAGCAACGCCGCGUGAAGGAAGAAGGUCUUCGGAUUGUAAACUUUUGUUGUCAGUGAAGAAAAAGGACUGUAACUGACGAGAAAGCCCCGGCUAACUACGUG